rnacentral:lncRNA from 1 species
UGCAAUCUGCCACCGCUGCCACCGAGCCGAGGGGCGCCAGCAAGGCAUCCCCUGGGUCAAGGGGCCUCCCGUGGGCUUUCCAAACAGCCUGUGCUCAUUUCCGCGGGAGCCCUCGGGGCGCUGUGCUGUGGCUGCAUUGUCACUGUUUGUUUAUUUCUACAUCUGCUCUGUUAGAAGAUAGGCUCGCUUAGGACAGAGCCUUCUAAUCCACCCCCUGAUGAAUUCGGGCCCUCGCCUUUGGCACAAUGCCUGGCGUCAUCACAACGCGGGUGAUCAGUAAACGGCAGCGAAGGAAGCGGGGUCAGGACUGGAGAGGAGAGGGGGAGGAAGACAGACGACCGGAGAGGAACAAAAAUGGAAGGUAACUUGAGCUUUCAUAACUGCAGAAGUGCAAAACAGCUCCCUGUGUGAUAUAGGAAGUAAAACCGUAGAGAUGGGACUUGGCUGGCCUGCCCUUCACACACUUUAGACAUUAACCCAAAGUUCAUGCUCCUGCCAUGACAGUGAUGGUGGACAGGAGGGAAGAAAAUGACAAGGAGGAAAGGAGGUGUCUUUUGCUCUUAAAAAUGAGAAGGGUCAUAAACAAUCCAUCGGCUGCAAACCACGAGUUGCCCCCAAAGCAAAGCAGGUUAGUGGCUGCUGCCGCCUCAUCAUAGCUUCAGAACCCACAGAGCCUGGAGGACUGUCAAACAUUAUCUAAUAUCCCAUUCUACAGAAGAGAAAACUGAGGUUGAGGCAGGAACGCAGACAGGAAUCAAGGUUUUGGGGUUGGGAUUUGCAAUCCAUUACUUUGCCUCCUGCAUCCACUGCUUUUCCCUGGGCAUUCUCUUCUUCCGGUUUCUUGGAAGUUAAAAUUGCGAGAGAAGCAACACAGAGUGGUUUUCCCAGGGCCUCGACCUCGGUAAGGGAAGACGUGGAAUUCCGAGUGUGGAGACCCAGACAGCCUCCGAAACCCCCACGCAACCCUGGGCGUUCAGCAGCUGCCAAUGCCCGCCUGACAAGUUUCUGGGGCAUCUCUGCACACGGAGAGGUGUGUCUCCUGCAGCUCCAAAAACAGAUUUUGCCAUCUCAUCCCCAUAUUUGCAGUCUCCAGUUGGCUUCUUGUGAUUGGCCAGAACUUUUCCUCACUGGAGAGAUGAGGAGAAUCCAGUCCUCCAACCAGCUGAGAGAAAACACUGCAGUAGCAGAGAUAGCAAUGGCUGUUCCACCCCACACUGAUACGAUGUCAGGGAGCCAGGGGUGGGCUCAACAGGCUGAAUGAUGCCAGGGACUCCCAAGGGUCUAUACAUUUAACCCUGGAGGAAGUGGCCUCUGACCAGAACAAGUAAGAAUGGACAGAGGAAUACCAUGUGCUGACUGACGAACGCCUGGGUUUCUGAACCAAUUGCCAUCAAGGGGAUUGGGAUUACCAUAAUUUUUGCUGAGACUAAGCCCCACCCCAGUAACCAAAGGCUUAUGGGUGGAAUGCAAGCUAUUGGAAGUAUUUGAAGAUGUGACCAAGGAAGCUAUGAGAAUUGGAAAUGAGGCAGUUGUUUAGAAACGGGCUGAUGUGCUUGUGGCAGUGUUUCAAGAACCCAGCUCCAUUCAUCCUAUGAUGCCACCAUCCUCAGCAUUUGACUUCCAUGGCUCCUGUAAGAGAAGAGAACAUGAAGAACAAAACAGGAGGUUUUUAUGGGAGGCAUGUCAAUUUGACCAGAUACUUUGCCCAGAACCUUGUCACAUGGCCUCUGCCUAAAUGACAAUGAGGCUAGUGGCUGGGUGUGGUGGCUCAUGCUUGUAAUCUCAGCACUUUGGGAGGCUGAGCCAGGAGGGUCUCUUGAGCCUAGGAAUUCAAGAUCAGCCUGGGCAACAUAGGGAGACUUCGUCGCUACAAAAAAAAAUAAAUUAAAAAUUAGCUGGGCAUAGUGGCACAUGCCUGUAGUCUCAGCUAGUUGGGAGGCUGAAGUGGGAAGAUCACUUGAGCUGGGAGGUUGAGGCUGCAGUGAGCCGAGAUCACGCCACUGCACUCUAGCCUGAAUGACAAAGUGAGACCCUAUCUCAAAGAAAAAACAAAAAAUGAGUCUGGGUAACGUAGCCUGUGAGACCAGAAAGAAGCAUCAGGAUUGGCGAGUAUUAAUACCAUCUCUACCAUAAACAUUUUUGGAAAUAUUUCUUUUUUUUUUUUAGAGAAAGGGUCUUGCUGUGUUGCCCAGGCUGGUCUCAAACUCCUAGCCUCAAGCAAUCUUCCCAACAUAGCCUCCAAAAGUGCUGGGAUUACAGGCAUGAGCCAACAAGCCUGGCCCUAGAAAUAUUUCUUUCUCUAAAUUCAAAGUAACUAGGGGGAAUAUUAAUCUCAUUCUAAAUAUUUUAUUUUGUCACUCCCUAUCCUUUGUUUUCAAACACCUCACACUACUAUUAUGUGUUAUCACGAGUCAACUGUUUACAUGUCUAUCUCCAGCUGUUGGUUGGGAGCUCACUGAAAAAGGAAACCUUUGUAAUUCAUUUUUGUAUCCUGAGGGCUUAGCACAGAGGCUGGCACCUGUUAGACCUAAGAAGGAUUGGCAACUCUGGACAAAUCAGAGAAGGAGCGUUGUCAACCCUUUUCUCCUGGUGAUGAUGAUGGUGAUGGUCAAUGUCCACUCCCAAAUAUCUAUAUUGGGAAGAGGUGGUUUGUAGGGUGAGCAUUUGUCUUUUGAGUGUAUACUUGAGGGAGGGAUGAAAUUAUGUUUGUUUUAUACUCUAGAAAAAUUGGCUAAAACAGCAAAUGUAAUUUUACAGAAUGAUGGAGAGGGCAUACUGAGGUGGGAGGCAAAUAAUAGAAGGAGAUGUAAAACUGUCAACCUUGAUCCCCACAGUGAUGGGGGAUGAUGACAGCAGGAGUAAGUUAUGGGAUGAUUGUAUGUUUGUGAACCUCAGUUCUUCUGCAGCAUGAGCUGGCAGGAUCCUCUCCUUGACCACCUCAGGUGACCUGCUGGAGCCCACUGGUCUCACCAGGAGAGGUCAUCGGGCCACCAGACCAACUGAAGUAAUAGUUCUUCUUGAGGACAGUCUCUAGCUCCCCCUCUAUCCCAUCCCACAGUCCAAAAAUGCUACCCAGCAUGGCCUAACCCAGAGUCUACCCCCAAAUAAGUGAUUCUGCAAGUUGCUAGAAUUCAAAGAUGCUCACACCCCAGAAUUAGAAAACAUCACUGUGGCAGUUUCAGGUUCUCAGCAAGCAGACCAAGAAUGCACAUGUGAGCUUCCUUUAUUUCAAGUUAAGGAUGCAUUUUCGGUUUUUAAAGUUCAACAAUAAUAAAAUCAGUUGAAAGCCCAACUUCUAGAGCAGUGCUAUUCAAUAUACUAGCACUGGCCUGUGUGGCUAUACAAAUUUAAACUAAUCAAAACUCAACAAAAUUUAAAAUGCAGUUCCUCAGUGGCAGUAGCCACAUGUUAAGAACUAAAUGGCCACAUGUGGCUA